rnacentral:rRNA from 1 species
CCAGACUCCUACGGGAGGCAGCAGUGGGGAAUAUUGGACAAUGGGGGGAACCCUGAUCCAGCGACGCCGCGUGAGUGAAGAAGUAUUUCGGUAUGUAAAGCUCUAUCAGCAGGGAAGAAAGAAAUGACGGUACCUGACUAAGAAGCCCCGGCUAACUACGUGCCAGCAGCCGCGGUAAUACGUAGGGGGCAAGCGUUAUCCGGAUUUACUGGGUGUAAAGGGAGCGUAGACGGCGAUGCAAGUCUGGAGUGAAAGCCCCGGGCCCAACCCCGGGACUGCUCUUGGAACUGCGUGGCUAGAGUGCAGGAGGGGCAGGCGGAAUUCCUGGUGUAGCGGUGAAAUGCGUAGAUAUCAGGAGGAACACCGGUGGCGAAGGCGGCCUGCUGGACUGCAACUGACGUUGAGGCCCGAAAGCGUGGGGAGCAAACAGGAUUAGAUACCCGCGUA